rnacentral:misc_RNA from 1 species
UUUGUUUUUUAGUUUUGGAAACUCACAUGGUAAAAGUGACCGUCUGAGGUGGGACCAACAUUGGAUACGUUUUGUUAAUAUUCUCUAAUUGCAAAUAUAUCAGAUGGAAGAAAAACCGUUUGAGGGUCUUAAAAUUUCAUCCUCAGAUUUUCUUAACACACUAGAGAACCGAACUAUCUGUCCAAAAUGUAUGAAGUCCAGGAAAUUUUAUUGUUACAACUGUUUUGUCCCAGUAAAAGGGAUAGAGGAUUUGAUCCCAAGGGUGCAAGUAGGUUAUAAAAAAUUGUUAAAACAGAUUUAUAACUGCCUAUAAAAAUUGACAUCAUUAAACACCAAAAUGAAUGUGAUGGGAAGAGUACAUCAGCCCAUGCUGCUGUACUAGCACCAGAUGAUGUCAGAGUGUUUACAUAUCCAUGUAUCCCAGACUAUCUGGACCCUAGUAAGGUUGUCCUUGUUUUCCCUGGAAAAAAUUCCUUAACUCUUGAAGAAUUGGCCAGAAAUUCUAGAUCCAAACCUAAAGACAGAGACAAUAACAGUGACAAUGAUCAGAAUUCCUGUAGACUGUCAUCUGAAGUUGGGCAAAAUGAAUCCCUGUGCAAAAAUCUAAAGGGAAAUAACCCUGUGAAUGGUAGUUCAUCUGACAAGGGAAGUAACCCUACGUCAGCGGAUCCAUGUUCUAAAGAGACAGCAUCUUGCCAAGUUCUUGAGGAGUCUUCACCUUAUAAGAGGAAGGCGGGAGACACUGAAGGAGAAAAAUCGAAGAAACAGAAGAUUUCAAGUGGAGAGCCUCCAUUUGAGAGAGCCAUCUUCAUUGAUAGUACUUGGAAGCAGACUAAAGGAAUAAUUGCUGAUGAUAGACUUAAAGACAUGACCUGCAUACAAUUGAAAUCAAGAGAAACCAAAUUUUGGAGGCACCAGAAGGAUAAUCCGGCCACCUAUUUGUCCACCAUCGAGGCAGUGUAUUACCUAGUGCGGGAUUACCACGAACUCUUUCUGGAAGACACAAGUUAUAAUGGAGAAUACGACAAUCUAUUAUUUUUCUUCUCAUUUAUGUACCAGAAAAUAAGAACAUUUUAUGAUGGAGGAAAAGACUUAAAAGCUUAUAAACAGAGAGCUAAAACGAAACAAAUUUGUGGAGAAAAAACUAGUGAAUGAAUUUUCUACUUGCUUUCAAUAUCUGGUUGCUUCAUUUCUUUCCAAUUGUUUAUAUUAAAUAUGGUUUUAAAUGUU